UACGUAGGGGGCAAGCGUUGUCCGGAAUCAUUGGGCGUAAAGAGCGUGUAGGCGGCCCGAUAAGUCCGCUGUGAAAGUCCAGGACUCAACCCUGGGAUGCCGGUGGAUACUGUCGGGCUCGAGUCCGGAAGAGGAGUGUGGAAUUCCUGGUGUAGCGGUGAAAUGCGCAGAUAUCAGGAGGAACACCAAUGGCGAAGGCAGCACUCUGGGACGUGACUGACGCUGAGACGCGAAAGCGUGGGGAGCAAACAGG
rnacentral:rRNA from 1 species